rnacentral:ncRNA from 1 species
AUAUACCUAUGGCAAACUCGUCCGAAAGGCGGGGACGCAAAACCACAGGUCUUCCGCCGAUUCGGCGAUGAUGGCUGGGCUGCAUGC